AUUCCAGCUCCAAUAGCGUAUAUUAAUGUUGUUGCAGUUAAAAAGCUCGUAGUUGGAUUUCUGGUUGGACCGCGAUGCCGGACUCGCAAGGGUUCGUGAUUGUUGUGGUUUCCUUCCAUCCUCAGGUGUGCGCGUGCUGGCCUUAACUGGUCGGGACGCGGAGUCGGCGAGGUUACUUUGAAAAAAUUAGAGUGUUCAAAGCGGGCUUACGCUUGAAUAUAUUAGCAUGGAAUAACACUAUAGGACUCCUGUCCUAUUUUGUUGGUCUUCGGGACGGGAGUAAUGAUUAAGAGGAACAGUUGGGGGCAUUCGUAUUUCAUUGUCAGAGGUGAAAUUCUUGGAUUUAUGAAAGACGAACUUCUGCGAAAGCAUUUGCCAAGGAUGUUUUCAUUA
rnacentral:rRNA from 1 species